UGCUGAUAAAUACUACCAAAUCUACUUCAUUAUCGUUUUAUCUGCAGUGCUGUAACAAGUCUUGCAUUAACUUGAUGAAUAGUUGAUUUUGAUUUUCAACUAAAAAGGAUAUAUAUUGACUCUAGUGGUGACAAGAUUUACAAAGUUCUUCUAAUUUGACUUAAAUUAGAAUCUCAAAUUUAUCUUAUAUAACAGAUCAUUCAGUGCACGCGAAAGAGACAUUAUGACGGAACCUACUUUUAAUUGUUAUAAGUGUGUCGGAAAUGAGUGCAAUCUACCACAGAAAGAAAUGCCAAUUUGCAAUACUACAAUUAACUGCUGGAAGUCUGUGGCUCGAAAAUAUAAACAUAUGUAUCGAUAUUAUUAUGGAUGCAUCUCAACAAUGGCAGAAAACGAAAAUAUUUGCAAUAAUGCGACAAAGAAAGAUAAUACUAAAUGCUGUACAGGAGAUUUAUGCAACGACAAUAACUUUCAAGUACAGUAUGAUCAUCUUGGUGAUCGCACCUGGGUGUAUGUAAUGGAUAUUGUUCUAAUAAUAGUAUUAAUAAUUUGCAUUUACUUUACUAUAUACUACAUGAGAAAAUUGACUACGCAUAAUAUUACCAACCUGCGCAGACGUUAUGAACCAGAGUUAGAAAUGCUGCGAAGAAGAACGACUGAUGCACCUUCAGAAAGUCGCGAAGAUAGGAAUGACCAGGCUACCUCUCAAGUAUAGUUCAGCUUAUUAUACAAAGUAUCGAAUCCUUUAUUAACGAAACGCCCCAACGGCCUUACCGAAGCAAGGCGUCUUUUCAAAGCAUAUUUCAUUUGUCAUUCGGUACUUUAAGUAAUUAAUGAACCAAUUGUAUGAUUUCAACUUUCACAAGGAAAUGGAAAUUUAGAGAGUUGUCAAUAAACCGCCAUCUACGAGUUGAGCCUUCACAAUGUGAUUCCUUUUUCUAAGUAGCAAUCCAAUUAAACGAGAGCCGACAACCAAGGAACUGCGUUAAAUAAUCGAAGGCUUGAAAUUCUCGAUGAUUUGCACACUACUUAUCCGACAUGUUGAAAAAAACAAUCUUAUUGUAGCAUUCAACUGUGCAAUUUAAAUGACGUUUGAAUUUUCAAAUAAUGAAUUAGUUGGGAUCUUAAAUUCAGGACUGACGGAUCACGAAAGCGAUCAUAUUUUUUUCAUUCAAUAAAUGUACACGAUAUUGUAACUGGUAAUUCAAUCGAUACAGUUGGUGAUUCCAACUGGGCGCAUGUAGUACCGGGUGUUGCUCUAGCAGCAGCGUUCAUAAUUUACAACUACAUUGCCAUACUUUACAUUGGAAUGUUGAGUACAGGUAAUUAUCUACAGGCGCAGGAAUUAUCCACAGAAUCAAGAAAUACCGAGCGUUAGCCAAUUUGACAAAUUAAUAAGACACUUUCUUAUUAAUUUUAAACGAUUUUUAAACGUACUGCAAUGAUCGAAAACUAAUUGACCAUACUGUAACUUGCGUAUAUCUCUUAAUGUUAAAUCAUCAGUGAUUUUUCAACAUUUGGUUUGUAUCUAUAUUCCUUGUAUGACUGUUGUUACGCGCAGUAAAAAGAUUACUGCGCGUUUAAGGAAAUUGAAAUUAUAAAAUAUCAUAAAUAAAAUUUAUUACUUAUAAGGUUUCGUUCGUACACCAUUUUUAUGCAUUUUUUCGUUUUAGCCUACUUAUUUUGAACGACUUAUAUGCGUCAUUAAUUUCACCAACGAGACUUAGAAUGUCAAUCGUAACAAAUGUCAAGUGGUUAUAUAUUGAUUUUGUAUAAUUAUAUUGUAAUAGGGUCAAUUUUUUUUAAAUUAAAGGUCAAAGUCUCUACUUUAAGAUGGUGGAGCUCUAUUUUUGAUUUGACCAAACUUCUACAUACGUGACUUUGAAAUUCAAGGUCAUUUUUUAAAGUUCAAAAAUCGUAAACUCUCGCAGUGCAUUCGCGCGUGGGUGAUUUCUUUUGAUAAUUCUGAUCAUUGCA